rnacentral:rRNA from 1 species
AUUGAACGCUGGCGGCAUGCCUUACACAUGCAAGUCGAACGGCAGCACGGGUGCUUGCACCUGGUGACGAGUGGCGAACGGGUGAGUAAUAUAUCGGGACGUACCUUAUUGUGGGGGAUAACGCAGCGAAAGCUGUGCUAAUACCGCAUAAUCCCUAAGGGGGAAAGCGGGGGACCGUAAGGCCUCGCGCAAUUAGAGCGGCCGAUACCUGAUUAGCUAGUUGGUGAGGUAAAGGCUCACCAAGGCAACGAUCAGUAGCUGGUCUGAGAGGACGAUCAGCCACACUGGGACUGAGACACGGCCCAGACUCCUACGGGAGGCAGCAGUGGGGAAUUUUGGACAAUGGGGGCAACCCUGAUCCAGCAAUGCCGCGUGAGUGAAGAAGGCCUUCGGGUUGUAAAGCUCUUUUGUCAGGGAAGAAACAGCAGCUCUAACACAGUUUGCGAAUGACGGUACCUGAAGAAUAAGCACCGGCUAACUACGUGCCAGCCGCCGCAGUAA